CAGGGCGGCCCGCCCCGCGCACGCGCGCCCGCCGCCGUGUUUACUGUUUGGUUGCCAGGGCGGCGCGCGGCGGCGCGCGUCAGGGACGUGACGUCCCGGCCCGGCUCCCCGCGGAGACGCCGCGAGCCAGCGCCAUGACGCAAGAGCUUCCGGCCGUGCCCAUAUAUGGCAAAGCGGCGGCGGCGGCUUCCCCCCGGGAGCUGGACGUUGGGCCGCGCGUGAGGCGCUGCGGCGGGAAGGUUCCAGAAGGGCGCGAGGGCGGGGCCGCCGGCCCCGCGGCGGCCGCCGUUAGUCCUGUCAGGCAGCCAUUACGCCUCCCCGAGGGCCCGCGGCUCAGUGGGCUGCCCUGGCUCCACCUGUGCUGCUGGGCUGGCUCCGCUUAGCGCCAGAAAUGAUAAAUUGUGACACUUCUAAUCUCCACACGGCCCUAGAUGAAAUAAAAUAGUGAUAUAUAUAUAUUAUAUACACACACACACGUAUUCACCAUGCUUGCAGCAUUGCAGCUCGCCCGUGAAACCUGCUGCCGGCCUCAGGGCAGCGGGUGACCAGGCGCCGGCAUCCUUCAACUCUGGUUCUGCUGGUUCCCCGGCCAGGUGCGCCGUCGUUGUUUCGCCGAUAAACCUGACUCUUCUACUUUCACUCAAAAUAGAGCGGGAAGCCUGCCAGAAACAGUCACCGGAGCCAAUGGGCAGCUGAGAAUAAAUGGAUUGUUCAGAGAAGAUAAGGGUUUAGGGGAAAGAAAAAAAAAAAAAAAAAAGUUCAGUGCUCGCUGUGGAGGAAUUUGAGAAGGUUCCUGUGCUCAGUGUUCUGAGAGAUUUACCAGAGGGUGUGUUUAAAGCCAAAGUGUCCACACAAAAGGUUAUGAAACAAAUAAAAACCACCGAACAGGCACAACUGGGUAAUACUCAUGCAAGGUUUCUAAGAGAAGUUAAGAUUUCAGUAGCUGGGCUGCCUACUGGUGGCUAAGUGUAGCAUCUCAUUUAGAAGUGCUUCAGUAUUUGGGAAUGGAAAGAUAGUUAGUGUGCCAGUUAAAGUGCCCAGAAACGUUCUGGAGAGCUGCCGACCAAUGAGCCAGCUAUCUGUACCAGGCAAGGUCGUGAAAGCAGUUUAAAAAGGCAAACUAUUGAGCACAAGGGAAAAAAAAAAGAAGUGUACCAGGUGAGUUGGCAGCUUUUCUAAAGCAUUCCUCACACAUUGUUUGAAGUCCUGUGAGGAGUCAGCAAGCGUAUGGAAAAGAUUCCCCUGAUGUCAUUUGCUUGGGUUUUGAGAAAACAUUCUUUAACAUCUAUCAGCAGAAGCUUCUGAAGAAACUAAGCUGCUAUGGAAUAAGAAUAGAAGUUUUCACAUGAGUAGAUGAGGCUGGUUUAAAAGAUGGGACGCUAAACAAAAAAAUGUUUUCCUAGGUGGAAGGCGUCUUCAUAUGAAGUUGCACAAGGAUCUGAAUUGGAGCCUGGGGUCUGGAACAGGUGGUAAAUAGCGAGGUGGCUGAGAGGAAGUCAAGUAAGACUUGACAGUCUGCGGGUGAUGCAAUUCUAUGUAGAUCUUUUGCUGAUAAGGUUGUUCUUGUGGCUUCCGGCGAGCUUUCCAGUCAUAGUGGGUAUACUGGUGACCCGGUGAGACGCUGAAGUGAAACCAACAAACACUCAUUCUUCUGAUAUGGAAACAGCGGAUAUCCACAAGGGACCUGGAUGUUAUAUCAACAGGAUACCAUGGGUAAACAAAAGAAGGUCAUAACUAACAUGUGGACAAAAUAUCUUUAUUGUUUCCAAUUAUGGAGCUCUUUUUUUUUUUUUUUUUUUCUUUUUUUUUUUUUUUCUUCAGAACAACAGAUUUUUAGCUCCUCUUCACUGAUUAUAUUGGAGCUUUGUUUUUGUACAAAUAUUUUGUAGCUUGAUCCUGUUGGCUAAAGCCAACCAGGUGCAACUUUAAAGCAGUCAUUUGAAUUCCAAUUGCACCACAGCCUCCAUCUGGUAAGAAUUCAGCUCCUUUUAAAUAGCCCAUCUUGAAUUUUGUCGUGCUAGGGAAUAAGGGAAAUGAAACAGACUCAUCGUACAGUAUUUAUCUGUUGUUUGCAAAAGGAAGUAUUUGUUUUGAGUAAGUAACAGUGUUACAGAGUCCAUAAAACAGUAGCAGUGUCAGACCUAAAGCAUAUGGUCUAAAUUGUGUACAGUUCGGAUAUUACCAGAUCAUUGAGGGUUUAAGUAAAACAUUAUUUUGACACUGCUCUGAUGUAUAGCGGGUGUUUCAGCAUCAGAAUGAUGUAGUUCCUGCUAUGAAGCAUUCGAACUGUAAUAGUAGGAGAAAUGGCAGUUGCCAGUAGCGCACAGCAGAGAGAAGGACAAGCACUGUUACAGCAUUUAAGCGUGUGCUGUGGCAAUUCAAUUAAAACAGUAGCGUAACCUGAUCAUGAUGUGUCACUAACCUGAGGACACAAAGGAAGAUAAACUGAGGUAAUCUGCUGUCAUUACAUAAGAGUUGAGUGCAGAGCCAAGAAUGGGGUUUCGGCACAGAUAAGGAUUUCUCUCUGAGACUUUCAAAGAAUUCAGCUCUUCACAGCUUUAACUCUUCAUAGGAGUUGCAGAUCCUCCCCCCAGGUUUGUCAGCAAGUUCCAGGUGGUCAGGUGCCACAAGCCUGGGCUCCUGAGCUGUGCCUGGGGGUAAGUAGCAGAGAGCUUGGGACUGCUGAUUUUCCAUCCUGCUCUGUUGCACAGUAAUAAUCCUAGUCCCUGAAAUACUUUUGGGCUGUGCCAAUGAAGCUGGGCUCCCGUCGCUCUCCCUGGUCAUCCAGCAAUACCCUAGCAGGUUUCAUACCGCGUUUCCUACUUCAUUGCACUUUGGCAUAUGACAAGUCCUUGACUUACCUCAUGGCUGUGUAAGGCGUUUAAUGCUCCAAAAAUAACCCCGGUGUCUAAAAGAGCUUGGCAAACUACCUCCAAAUCAUCCUACACAUUGGGUAGGAUUUAAGGGAAAUAUGAAAUAAUUUAUUUCACCAAAAGGUAGGUAGGUAGCUGUAUUUGGAGAUGAAUAUGGUGAAAUAGCACACAAGAAAACAUGAUACUCUGCCUGACUGCUUAUCUUCCAGAUCUUUGUUUCAGCCUGCAAGCUGAGCUGAGGGGCACGGCACGCUGAUGGGGUGGUUUCCACAGCUGUCAGAACUGCAGAAUGAUACUCAAACAGGCUACCUCCCCCAGAAGGCAUGUUCCUGAUUCGGAACAUUCAUUUGAGAAAAGUUGUAUUUAUAGUCUGUAUACCCCUACUUGCCUAAGGGCCUUCUGAGGGCAAACGCUUCACUGGGCAUGGCUUCUGGCUCCUCAUCCCAGUACAUUUAGUCAAGACGUGAACUCGUAACUGUCUUCCUCAUGAAACACCGUUUGUUGUAGCUCUAGUCCUUUUUGUGUGAAGGCGUGACAGGAGCGCGGGACUUCUGCUCCUUACACCUGGACAGUUUUAACACGACUUCUUGAUAAACCUGUCGUUAUGAUGUAUAAAUAAAACUUCUUUGCCAG